CCUACGGGUGGCAGCAGUGAGGAAUAUUGGUCAAUGGGCGGAAGCCUGAACCAGCCAAGUAGCGUGCAGGAUGACGGCCCUACGGGUUGUAAACUGCUUUUAUACGGGAAUAACGCGCCUUACGUGUAGGUCUUUGCAUGUACCUUAUGAAUAAGGACCGGCUAAUUCCGUGCCAGCAGCCGCGGUAAUACGGAAGGUCCGGGCGUUAUCCGGAUUUAUUGGGUUUAAAGGGUGCGUAGGUGGGAUGUCAAGCGUGCUGUGAAAUUUCCGGGCUCAACCCGGACCUUGCAGCGCGAACUGGCGGGCUUGAGUCCGCGGAAGGCAGGCGGAAUUCGUCGUGUAGCGGUGAAAUGCUUAGAUAUGACGAAGAACCCCGAUUGCGAAGGCAGCUUGCUGCAGCGGAACUGACGCUGAUGCUCGAAAGCGCGGGUAUCGAACAGGAUUAGAUACCCGAGUAGUC
rnacentral:rRNA from 1 species